rnacentral:rRNA from 1 species
GUGGGGAAUAUUGGACAAUGGGCGCAAGCCUGAUCCAGCCAUGCCGCGUGAGUGAUGAAGGCCCUAGGGUUGUAAAGCUCUUUCACCGGAGAAGAUAAUGACGGUAUCCGGAGAAGAAGCCCCGGCUAACUUCGUGCCAGCAGCCGCGGUAAUACGAAGGGGGCUAGCGUUGUUCGGAAUUACUGGGCGUAAAGCGCACGUAGGCGGACAUUUAAGUCAGGGGUGAAAUCCCGGGGCUCAACCCCGGAACUGCCUUUGAUACUGGGUGUCUGGAGUAUGGAAGAGGUAAGUGGAAUUCCGAGUGUAGAGGUGAAAUUCGUAGAUAUUCGGAGGAACACCAGUGGCGAAGGCGACUGACUGGACAAGUAUUGACGCUGAGGUGCGAAAGCGUGGGGAGCAAACAGGAUUAGAAACCCCGGUAGUCC